rnacentral:tRNA from 1 species
GGCCAUGUGGUCUAGUGGUAUGAUUCUCGCUUUAGGGUGCGAGAGGUCCCGGAUUCGAUCUCCGGCAUGGCCC